AGCGAACGCUGGCGGCAGGCCUAACACAUGCAAGUCGAACGAAGUCUUCGGACUUAGUGGCGGACGGGUGAGUGACACGUGGGAACGUGCCUUUAGGUUCGGAAUAACUCAGGGAAACUUGUGCUAAUACCGAAUGUGCCCUUCGGGGGAAAGAUUUAUCGCCUUUAGAGCGGCCCGCGUCUGAUUAGCUAGUUGGUGAGGUAAAGGCUCACCAAGGCGACGAUCAGUAGCUGGUCUGAGAGGAUGAUCAGCCACAUUGGGACUGAGACACGGCCAAACUCCUACGGGAGGCAGCAGUGGGGAAUCUUGCGCAAUGGGCGAAAGCCUGACGCAGCCAUGCCGCGUGAAUGAUGAAGGUCUUAGGAUUGUAAAAUUCUCUCACCGGGGACGAUAAUGACGGUACCCGGAGAAGAAGCCCCGGCUAACUUCGUGCCAGCAGCCGCAGUAACAC
rnacentral:rRNA from 1 species